rfam:Prevotella sp. CAG:891 genomic scaffold, scf663
GGGCAAAUACCAGAGUGGACAAAUGGGGCAGACUGUAAAUCUGCUGGCUUUCGCCUUCGGUGGUUCGAAUCCAUCUUUGCCCA